rnacentral:rRNA from 1 species
CCUACGAGUGGCAGCAGUGGGGAAUAUUGGACAAUGGGCGAAAGCCUGAUCCAGCCAUGCCGCGUGUGUGAAGAAGGCCUUCGGGUUGUAAAGCACUUUCAGUGGGGAAGAAAGCCUUGGGGCUAAUACCCUCGAGGAAGGACAUCACCCACAGAAGAAGCACCGGCUAACUCCGUGCCAGCAGCCGCGGUAAUACGGAGGGUGCGAGCGUUAAUCGGAAUUACUGGGCGUAAAGCGCGCGUAGGCGGUCUGAUAAGCCGGUUGUGAAAGCCCCGGGCUCAACCUGGGAACGGCAUCCGGAACUGUCAGGCUAGAGUGAAGGAGAGGAAGGUAGAAUUCCCGGUGUAGCGGUGAAAUGCGUAGAGAUCGGGAGGAAUACCAGUGGCGAAGGCGGCCUUCUGGACUGACACUGACGCUGAGGUGCGAAAGCGUGGGUAGCAAACAGGAUUAGAUACCCCAGUAGUC